GAUGAACGCUGGCGGUAUGCUUAACACAUGCAAGUCGAACGGACUCUUCGGAGUUAGUGGCGGACGGGUGAGUAACGCGUGAGAAUCUGGCUUUGGGUUCGGGACAACCACUGGAAACGGUGGCUAAUACCGGAUGUGCCGAGAGGUAAAAGAGAAAUUGCCUGAAGAUGAGCUCGCGUCUGAUUAGCUAGUUGGUGAGGUAAAGGCUCACCAAGGCAGCGAUCAGUAGCUGGUCUGAGAGGAUGACCAGCCACACUGGGACUGAGACACGGCCCAGACUCCUACGGGAGGCAGCAGUGGGGAAUUGUCCGCAAUGGGCGAAGGCCUGACAGAGCAAUACCGCGUGAGAGAAGAAGGCUCUUGGGUUGUAAACCUCUUUUCUUAGGGAAGAACAAAAUGACGGUACCUAAGGAAUCAGCAUCGGCUAACUCCGUG
rnacentral:rRNA from 1 species